rnacentral:rRNA from 1 species
UGAACGCUGGCGGCAGGCCUACCACAUGCAAGUCGAACGGUAACAGGAAACAGCUUGCUGUUUCGCUGACGAGUGGCGGACGGGUGAGUAAUGUCUGGGAAACUGCCUGAUGGAGGGGGAUAACUACUGGAAACGGUAGCUAAUACCGCAUAACGUCGCAAGACCAAAGAGGGGGACCUUCGGGCCUCUUGCCAUCGGAUGUGCCCAGAUGGGAUUAGCUAGUAGGUGGGGUAACGGCUCACCUAGGCGACGAUCCCUAGCUGGUCUGAGAGGAUGACCAGCCACACUGGAACUGAGACACGGUCCAGACUCCUACGGGAGGCAGCAGUGGGGAAUAUUGCACAAUGGGCGCAAGCCUGAUGCAGCCAUGCCGCGUGUAUGAAGAAGGCCUUCGGGUUGUAAAGUACUUUCAGCGGGGAGGAAGGGAGUAAAGUUAAUACCUUUACUCAUUGACGUUACCCGCAGAAGAAGCACCGGCUAACUCCGUG